rnacentral:rRNA from 1 species
GAUUGACCUCGGAUCAGGUAGGGAUACCCGCUGAACUUAAGCAUA